UUACAGUUGCAGACCUCGGGGACGAAGGCGCAGCUGCCGUAGGGCUUGUUUGGAAGAUUGCAUUUGAUGCGGAAGCAGCACUGCAUCACCGGGCAGUUCGUCUUGUCGUUGGAUGCACAGCACUUGCACGACGCGCAUUGACGGAAGGGGGGAUUGCCAGCAUCAACACCCACGCCAGCGACACUGUGGAUGGGGUGGUACUCUACCGUGCCCGCUGGUUCGAAUUGGAUGGUCGGCUGCGGCUCGAAGGCAGCAACGUCGUCUCCUGCAUGCAUGUGGGUCG
rnacentral:lncRNA from 1 species